rnacentral:rRNA from 1 species
CCUACGGGAGGCAGCAGUGGGGAAUUUUGGACAAUGGGCGUAAGCCUGAUCCAGCAAUGCCGCGUGAGUGAAGAAGGCCUUCGGGUUGUAAAGCUCUUUUGUCAGGGAAGAAACGGUGAAGGCUAAUAUCCUUUGCUAAUGACGGUACCUGAAGAAUAAGCACCGGCUAACUACGUGCCAGCAGCUGCGGUAAUACGUAGGGUGCAAGCGUUAAUCGGAAUUACUGGGCGUAAAGCGUGCGCAGGCGGUUUUGUAAGUUUGUCGUGAAAUCCCCGGGCUCAACCUGGGAAUGGCGAUGAAGACUGCAAGGCUAGAAUCUGGCAGAGGGGGGUAGAAUUCCACGUGUAGCAGUGAAAUGCGUAGAGAUGUGGAGGAACACCGAUGGCGAAGGCAGCCCCCUGGGUCAAGAUUGACGCUCAUGCACGAAAGCGUGGGGAGCAAACAGGAUUAGAUACCCUGGUAGUCCACGCCCUAAACGAUGUCUACUAGUUGUCGGGUUUUAAUUAACUUGGUAACGCAGCUAACGCGUGAAGUAGACCGCCUGGGGAGUACGGUCGCAAGNUUAAAACUCAAAGGAAUUGACGGNNGAGAGNGCGAGACGACGACGAGGGAGGAGG